rnacentral:rRNA from 1 species
CCCCUUCGGGGGACAAAGUGACAGGUGGUGCAUGGUUGUCGUCAGCUCGUGUCGUGAGAUGUUGGGUUAAGUCCCGCAACGAGCGCAACCCUUAAGCUUAGUUGCCAUCAUUAAGUUGGGCACUCUAAGUUGACUGCCGGUGACAAACCGGAGGAAGGUGGGGAUGACGUCAAAUCAUCAUGCCCCUUAUGAUUUGGGCUACACACGUGCUACAAUGGACAAUACAAAGGGCAGCGAAACCGCGAGGUCAAGCAAAUCCCAUAAAGUUGUUCUCAGUUCGGAUUGUAGUCUGCAACUCGACUACAUGAAGCUGGAAUCGCUAGUAAUCGUAGAUCAGCAUGCUACGGUGAAUACGUUCCCGGGUCUUGUACACACCGCCCGUCACACCACGAGAGUUUGUAACACCCGAAGCCGGUGGAGUAACCUUUUAGGAGCUAGCCGUCGAAGGUGGGACAAAUGAUUGGGGUGAAGUCGUAACAAGGUAGCCGUAUCGGAAGGUGCGGCUGGAUCACCUCCUUUCUAAGGA